rnacentral:misc_RNA from 1 species
UUAAGUUCAGCGGGUAGUCCUACCUGAUUUGAGGUCAAAUUCAUCAAGCAUUGUGGUUUGUUAUAAGCAGCGCAAUAGCUUCACCAAGGCAUAGAUAGAUUUAUCACACACCUGUGGUAGCUCAGAUACUACUAAUGCAUUUCAGGGGAGCUGACCUCAAGAGGCCUGCACAAAAAACCCCCAACAUCCAAGGCCACAUC